UACGGAGGGGGCUAGCGUUGUUCGGAAUUACUGGGCGUAAAGCGCACGUAGGCGGCUUUGUCAGUUUGAGGUGAAAGCCCGGGGCUCAACUCCGGAAUUGCCUUUAAGACUGCAUCGCUAGAAUUGUGGAGAGGUAAGUGGAAUUCCGAGUGUAGAGGUGAAAUUCGUAGAUAUUCGGAAGAACACCAGUGGCGAAGGCGACUUACUGGACACAUAUUGACGCUGAGGUGCGAAAGCGUGGGGAGCAAACAGG
rnacentral:rRNA from 1 species